rnacentral:rRNA from 1 species
UAACCUGCCCAAGAGACUGGGAUAACACCUGGAAACAGAUGCUAAUACCGGAUAACAACACUAGACGCAUGUCUAGAGUUUAAAAGAUGGUUCUGCUAUCACUCUUGGAUGGACCUGCGGUGCAUUAGCUAGUUGGUAAGGUAACGGCUUACCAAGGCAAUGAUGCAUAGCCGAGUUGAGAGACUGAUCGGCCACAUUGGGACUGAGACACGGCCCCAACUCCUACGGGAGGCAGCAG